rnacentral:tRNA from 1 species
GCUCUGGUGCAGAGGUUUGCAUGUCCGCCUAUGACGCGGAAUGCCUGGGUUCAAGUCCCGGCGUGAGCA